UGAAGCAUUGAAGACGCUAGGGAUCACGUGAGAAAACCACACACGAAAAAUGUUCGCAUGAGAUACGGCAAAAAUGUAAAGGUAAUGUCGCUGUUGUGGACUUGAAGCAUUGAAGAUGCUAGGAAUCACCAGAUCUCCAGAUCCAGUGAGAAAACCACACACGAAAAAUUUUCGCAUAAGAGUCAAGUAAGGUUGUCUGAACCUAAUUAUUCGUCUAUUAAUGUAAAACUAUUAUCUGUAUUUUUUUAUUUUUAGCAGUUUAAUUUUGGUUGCUUUCUAUUUUGCGAUAAGCAUGUUUUCGAAGGUGUUCGGAUGUUUGCACACAUCUCUUCAAUAUAGUGGACUGUAGUUAUAUUUUUUAUGAAGAAAACAAUAAAUAGGCGCUAACUUUA